rnacentral:lncRNA from 1 species
AUGGCUUUGCAACAAGCAUGGCGUUCUUCAAAAGAAAGACCAGUGAUCCUGGCUUCUUGCUUAAAUGGAAAUGAACUAAUCCUGCUUUAUGGUCAGCAUCACAGACAUGGAAUGGAGCCCACACAGGUGGGCUCCCUCUUGAAACAAAGAACAGAACGUGUCUUUAACAAGGUAGAGUGUCGACGGCAAAGAAAACCUCGUCGUUUAGUUGUGACAGGUUGUUUCCAAAAUAGCAGCUGUGACAACCAGCAUAAAUAUAGGCGUCUCUCGGUGCUUCGGCGCGUGUCCUCGCCGCCCUCUCAGAGCCCAGCGGGACCCAGAGGCUGUGCCACCCACGACCAAGGGGUCAAGGGCUUUUGACUACAAAGUGCUCCAUUUAGUGAAUUUCCUUUCUGCCUUAAAAUGCUGGGAUGGAUGCCCUGGGGACUGCCUUGCAGGUGAGUGAGCGGGAGAGCUGGGUCACGUGGCUGCCUCCCAGCUGGCCCCCAGCCUCCAAAGUGCCUGAGUCUUCCCCAGGACUAACCCUCGCUGGCAUUUUCUAAUCCCUGGAAGAGAGUACUCUUUGCUUUCCCCUUUUUAUUUUAAUUAUAACCAACAGGCAAAUGCUUAAGCUGGUAAAAAAAAAGUACAAGUAAUCUUCAAAAAUUUCAUGGAAAAAAUGCCUACCAAAGAAAAUUAAUUGCGAGUAGAUUUCAAACAAAUUCUGCACCAAAAUAAGUGUACCUUUUCAGCUCAUUUUCCAUGAACUUUUGAAGUAUACUUACACAAGUGCUCCUCCCCCUGGGGUUCCGCCCUGAUAAACCCCACGUGCGUGGAUAACGCGUUAAACUGAACGUGCAUUGGACGAUGCAGGCCACCUCGCACUGUGGUUUAGCUUCACAGUAUGCGUAGAGUAUUAAUUAUGCUCCCAUUGUUGGGGCUGAUGGGGAGCUGUGGCUGCUCAGCUCCACGAGACAGUGCCCGGCUGCAUAUUGCUAGCUGUGGGAAAGAUCAAAAUUCCAAAUUCGCAAUGUGGUUUCUACUGAAUGUGUAUCACUUCUGCACCACAGCAGAGUCAAAAAUCCUGAAUGAAGCAAACCAUCAUCUGCUGGGGACUGUCUGGACAAAGGAAUGCAUUUGUUCAGAAAUAAACCUAAAGUCUUCCGAUAUGCA